rnacentral:lncRNA from 1 species
CCUCAUCCGCUCAUCUCAUAACCCUGCCAUUUUCUCCGCUCCGCUGCUAUGCUUCCACCUCGUCCCAUGCGUAGCCGACGAGUUUCUCUGCCACCACAGUAAGCUGCGCCCAUGGAUGCGAGGCAGCGGAGAGGUCGACCCGCGGCGAAGGCUGUUGCGUCCUCGGACCGACGUGACACACGGGGGAUUUGCUUCAACCGGCUGAGGAUUUGCUUCAACCGAUGCGGGGAUUUGCUUCAACCAGCGAGGAUGGUGGUGGACGGCGACAACGGCGGCGCGGUAAAUUGCUGUAUUUUUUUGAUUUUUGCUGGAACCACUUCUGAUUUUUGUUGGAACCACUUUUCUGAUUUGCUGCAACAGGAAAGGGGCGGCCACGGCGGCGGGCGCCAUGAUUUUUUGCUGCACAAGAUUUUUGCUGGAACCAGCUUUUUGAUUGCUGCAACCGGCGAGGAUGGUGUUGGGGCGGCUACGGCAGCGAUGCCAUGAUUUUUUUCUGCAUCGUUCUUUUUGCUGGAAACCAUUUUUAAUUUUGCUGGAACUAUAUCAAUUUUUUGCUGGAACCAUGUGUUGUUUUUGCUGGAAUCAUGUAAAUGUUUAGCUGGAAACAUAUUAUUUUUUGCUGGAACCACAUCAUUUUUUUGCUGGAACCAUAUAAUUUUUUUGCUGGAACCAUGUGUUUUUGCCUUCAAACCGG